CGGCGGACGGGUGAGUAACGCGUGGGUAACCGUGCCUCAUACAGGGGGAUAACAGUUGGAAACGGCUGCUAAUACCGCAUAAGCGCACAGUACCGCAUGGUACGGUGUGAAAAACUCCGGUGGUAUGAGAUGGACCCGCGUCUGAUUAGCUAGUUGGUGGGGUAACGGCCUACCAAGGCGACGAUCAGUAGCCGACCUGAGAGGGUGACCGGCCACAUUGGGACUGAGACACGGCCCAA
rnacentral:rRNA from 1 species